rnacentral:rRNA from 1 species
GUCUACGGCCAUACCACCCUGAACGCGCCCGAUCUCGUCUAAUCUCGGAAGCUAAGCAGGGUCGGGCCUGGUUAGUACUUGGAUGGGAGAACUUCUUAUAAUUUUUUAAAAGAUU